CCCAGACUCCUACGGGAGGCAGCAGUGGGGAAUAUUGCACAAUGGGGGGAACCCUGAUGCAGCGACGCCGCGUGGGUGAAGGAGUACUUCGGUACGUAAAGCCCUAUCAGCAGGAAAGAAAAUGACGGUACCUGACUAAGAAGCCCCGGCUAACUACGUGCCAGCAGCCGCGGUAAUACGUAGGGGGCAAGCGUUAUCCGGAUUUACUGGGUGUAAAGGGAGCGUAGACGGCAGUGCAAGUCCGGAGUGAAAGCCCGGGGCUCAACCCUGGGACUGCUCUGGAAACUGUAAAGCUGGAGUGCGGGAGGGGCAGGCGGAAUUCCUGGUGUAGCGGUGAAAUGCGUAGAUAUCAGGAGGAACACCGGUGGCGAAGGCGGCCUGCUGGACUGCAACUGACGUUGAGGCCCGAAAGCGUGGGGAGCAAACAGGAUUAGAUACCCUCGUAC
rnacentral:rRNA from 1 species